AGUCGCGUGGUCUAAUGGUUAUGAUUUCUCGUUCACAGUCGUGUCAGAUCCUCUGUCUUCGAGGCUCCGAGAAGGUUCCCGGUUCGAUCCCGGGCGCGACUA